GUCCGUCUACGAAGUGGCUGCGUCGGGGGAAGUGUUCAGCGAGUCCUGCCAUGGUCCGUCUACGAGGUGGCUGCAUCGAGGGAAGCGUCGAUUAUGUCAAUUCUCAGAGCUGACAACUUCAAGACAACAAAACGAAAAGGAGAAGAGACCCUGGAAAACCCCAACGUGAACACGAGCAGCUUGUCAACAAGAAGUGCAGUGACCUGAAGACCUGCACUUGUUUGAAAUUAAAGAGAGUUUGGAAAGUGUUGUGUAGUCAUUGCUACGAAAGGGAGUUUUCUAGAAAUAAUGCCCGAACGCAGAUACACU